AUUGAACGCUGGCGGCAGGCCUAACACAUGCAAGUCGAACGAGUGGCGGACGGGUGAGUAAUGUCUGGGAAACUGCCUGAUGGGGGGGGAUAACUACUGGAAACGGUAGCUAAUACCGCAUACCAUCAGAUGUGCCAAGAUGGGAUUAGCUUGUUGGGGGGGUAACGGCUCACCAAGGAGACGAUCCCUAGCUGGUCUGAGAUGAUGACCACCACAACGGGAACUGAGACACGGUCCAGACUCCUACGGGAGGCAGAAGUGGGGAAUAUUGCACAAUGGGGGCAAUCCUGAUGCAGCCAUGCCGCGUGUAUGAAGAAGGCCUUCGGGUUGUAAAGUACGUUCAGCGGGGAGGCGUUACCCGCAGAAGAAGCACCGGCUAACUCCGUGCCAGCCGCCGCGGUAAUUC
rnacentral:rRNA from 1 species